CCUACGGGUGGCAGCAGUAGGGAAUAUUGCUCAAUGGGGGAAACCCUGAAGCAGCAACGCCGCGUGGAGGAUGAAGGUUUUCGGAUUGUAAACUCCUUUUGUUAGAGAAGAUAAUGACGGUAUCUAACGAAUACUCACCGGCUAACUCCGUUCCAGCGGCCGCGGUAAUACGGAGGAUGCGAGCGUUAUCCGGAUUUAUUGGGUUUAAGGGGUGCGCAGGCGGUCUGUUAAGUCAGCGGUCAAAGCCCGGGGCUCAACCCCGGCCCGCCGUUGACACUGGCAGUCUCGAGUUGGAGAGAAGUAGGCGGAAUGCGCGGUGGAGCGGUGAAAUGCAUAGAUAUCACGCAGAACUCCGAUUGCGAAGGCAGCAUACCGGCGCGCAACUGACGCUCAUGCACGAAAGUGUGGGUAUCGAACAGGAUUAGAUACCCCAGUAGUC
rnacentral:rRNA from 1 species